AUUACAUACUUGAUGAAGGUUUAAUGACACGAAUGAGUACAAGUACAUUACAUUUUUCGACGAAGGCCUUCUGUAAUUUCAUACACUUCUUACGCAACAUUCAAUAGAUUUAUUUACUGUAUUAUCAUUUCGACCAAGGCGAAUUCGACACUUCAGUUACACAAGGUUAGUAACUUUUGUUCACAAAAUCCAAAUGGAGGCAAAUACAGAACAAUCAAACUUAGUCAUUCCAGUCAGUUACUGAAGCACAGUGAAAACUGUCGGGAGCAAUGCAACUGAUGGCAUGUCAAACUUCCAGUGACUGUCCCUGUCCAUAUAUUUCAAGACAGUACAAAUCUUGUAAUCAUUUUGUUUAUGCAAUGUACGUUAUUAUGUAUCAUUUCAGCACAAUCAAACUUAGUCAUUCCAGUCAGUUACUGAAGCACAGCGAAAACUGUCUGAAUUAGUGCUGCUGAUGGCAUGUAAUUACUCUACUACCACUACCAGUGACAGUCAAUGUCCAUAUAUUUUCAAGUGUGCGAAAUUAGUACUCGUCUACUUCUUAGUGUUAUUUGAAUGCAAUGUAUGUCAUAAAAAUAUUUUUUCAACACUAUAUCAACAUUCUCAUUCCUGUCAGUUUCUGAAAAUCAGCUAAAGCAAUCGCUACCAAUGCAGCUGAUAACAGCAAUUCUUUUUGUUCCCAAUGCCCAUCCAUGACAAUAUAUUUCACGCAUGUGACAAUCAUGUAAUCAUCCUGUUUUUUGUGUUCUAUUCAUGCAAUAAAUAAAUUCAGUAUUUUCAAAUCAUUGGUGCUACAAAACUAUUCUCAUUAUAUAUUAUUCAUAUUUUAUAAAAUGCUGUCAUGUCAAAUUUUGUGUCCUAUAAAUCAUUAUGAAGUCGGCAUUUUAUAUACAACUUUUGUACUCCUCCUAAAUAAACAUACAAAUCUUGUUUUAUGUAAACUUUGUAUAUGUGACCCGUCACAGCAAAACCAGGCGCAUGUCGCUCUGAGCUUGGCAGGUUGAGACGGACUGUUCUAAUCUUUCAUUAGCGACACCAUUUCUUACCCGAGUGCCUCCUUCAUUCAUACAUCUUGUACUUUAACUCAAGAUACCCAUCUUUGAAUAUUUUUAGUAUACCAAGUACUACAAUGUCAAUGUAUUGAAGUCAUGUUCUUGUAGUGUUAUUGGCUUUCUAUUAUCUUGUCAAAAUACCACUUGGUUCUCGCAAAAUCUCAAUAAAAACAAAUGCUAUUGCAUGUAUUGCAUAUUCUAACAGCUAUCCACUGUAUCGAUUUAUCCAUCAUCUGUAGUAUUUGUCACAAAAAUGUUAUAUUAUGUAAAUCAUAUUUCAUUACAUAAUGCACACUGCCAAUUACUGCUGAACCAUUCAUAUGUCAUUUAAAUAAAUAAUUUUCAACUUUUUAAAACCGUCUUAUAGUACUGUUCUUGUCACUUAGCUGAACCAAUUGCUCUAUAGCAUGAAAUUUCCAGAAAUGCCCCAGGGACUGAAAAGUGCUGUUUUAACAGAGAGGUGUCCUAAACUGAGAAGUCGAGUUGAAUGGAAACAACCAAUUUGGAACCAAAAACUACUGUCCUUAUUAAAGAGGUUGUCCUCAAUAGAAAGGUGUCCACAAAAAGUAGGUCCACUGUA